rnacentral:rRNA from 1 species
GACGAACGCUGUCGGCGUGCUUAACACAUGCAAGUCGAACGGAAAGGCCCUGCUUUUGUGGGGUGCUCGAGUGGCGAACGGGUGAGUAACACGUGAGUAACCUGCCCUUGACUUUGGGAUAACUUCAGGAAACUGGGGCUAAUACCGGAUAGGAGCUCCUGCUGCAUGGUGGGGGUUGGAAAGUUUCGGCGGUUGGGGAUGGACUCGCGGCUUAUCAGCUUGUUGGUGGGGUAGUGGCUUACCAAGGCUUUGACGGGUAGCCGGCCUGAGAGGGUGACCGGCCACAUUGGGACUGAGAUACGGCCCAGACUCCUACGGGAGGCAGCAGUGGGGAAUAUUGCACAAUGGGCGGAAGCCUGAUGCAGCAACGCCGCGUGCGGGAUGACGGCCUUCGGGUUGUAAACCGCUUUCGCCUGUGACGAAGCGUGAGUGACGGUAAUGGGUAAAGAAGCACCGGCUAACUACGUGCCAGCAGCCGCGGUGAUACGUAGGGUGCGAGCGUUGUCCGGAUUUAUUGGGCGUAAAGGGCUCGUAGGUGGUUGAUCGCGUCGGAAGUGUAAUCUUGGGGCUUAACCCUGAGCGUGCUUACGAUACGGGUUGACUUGAGGAAGGUAGGGGAGAAUGGAAUUCCUGGUGGAGCGGUGGAAUGCGCAGAUAUCAGGAGGAACACCAGUGGCGAAGGCGGUUCUCUGGGCCUUUCCUGACGCUGAGGAGCGAAAGCGUGGGGAGCGAACAGGCUUAGAUACCCUGGUAGUCCACGCUGUAAACGGUGGGUACUAGGUGUGGGGUCCAUUCCACGGGUUCCGUGCCGUAGCUAACGCUUUAAGUACCCCGCCUGGGGAGUACGGCCGCAAGGCUAAAACUCAAAGGAAUUGACGGGGCCCCGCACAAGCGGCGGAGCAUGCGGAUUAAUUCGAUGCAACGCGUAGAACCUUACCUGGGUUUGACAUGGAUCGGGAGUGCUCAGAGAUGGGUGUGCCUCUUUUGGGGUCGGUUCACAGGUGGUGCAUGGCUGUCGUCAGCUCGUGUCGUGAGAUGUUGGGUUAAGUCCCGCAACGAGCGCAACCCUUGUUCACUGUUGCCAGCACGUUAUGGUGGGGACUCAGUGGAGACCGCCGGGGUCAACUCGGAGGAAGGUGGGGAUGACGUCAAGUCAUCAUGCCCCUUAUGUCCAGGGCUUCACGCAUGCUACAAUGGCUGGUACAGAGAGUGGCGAGCCUGUGAGGGUGAGCGAAUCUCGGAAAGCCGGUCUCAGUUCGGAUUGGGGUCUGCAACUCGACCUCAUGAAGUCGGAGUCGCUAGUAAUCGCAGAUCAGCAACGCUGCGGUGAAUACGUUCCCGGGGCU